rnacentral:rRNA from 1 species
GACGAACGCUGGCGGCGUGCCUAAUACAUGCAAGUAUAACGCAGUUACGAACGGGUGAGUAAGUUGUCGGUAACUGCCUCAUAGCGGGGGCUAACUAUUGGAAACAAUAACUACUACCACAUCCUGUUAUAUGGACCUUCGGUGUAUUGGCUAGUUGGUUAGGUAAAGGCUCACCAAGGCGACGAUACAUAGCCUACCUGAGAGGGUUAUCGUCCAACUUUGGACUGAGGAACGGGCCAGACUCCUGCGGGAGGUAGCAGUAGGGAAUCUUCGGCAAUGGACGGAAGUCUGAGCGAGCAACGCCGAGUGAGUUAAGAAGGUGCUCGGAGUGUAUAGCUCGGUUGUUAGAGAAGCGGUAACUAACCAGAAAGGGACGGCUAACUACGAGCCAGCAGCCGCGGUAAUAC